GGGGAAAGGACUUGCAGGUAUAAAAAGAGUUAAUUGUAGAGAGCAAAAGGAGAUAAUUGCUUGCAGGGGCUGUAUCCACACAGCUGAGUCUUGUCUUCUAUUAGCAAGGAAUGCAGAAGUCACAUAUUUUUUUACAGGCAGAAAGAGUUUGCAAAGACUUGUGAGGGCUUUCUUUUCUGUUGGGUCUAUGGAUGGAAUUCUGUUAUAUGGAGAGAGCAUAGAGAAGGAGUGCAUCAGGUGUGAGAUAUUUCAUCCGGAAACCAAACGUAAGACAGAGAUUGUUGUUUGCAUUCUGACAAGAAAAACACAAGGGCACCGCAAAACUCAAAGGAGCUUCAAAGAGCACAGGGUCAUCUGGGACAAGAAAUUUCAGCAACAAAUUCAGCAUGACUAGCCAGAUGGCUGAAGAUCAAGUGUGAAGCACGGGAAUGACUGAAAUACUGGCUCACACAGAGAGUUUUAGUGACCAGUCACCACCACACGUUUAAAAGGUUGUCCUACUCCAAGUACUGCCAGCACCAUCAGCAGUGGUGGCAAGAUGGUACUGGUGGAGAAGUGCAGUCAGAGCUCAAACAUUACCUAGAUUUUUCAAACUUAUGCAUCUUUUUUGGCCUGAAAAUUGUCAUUUCAGGUCUGAAAACUGCCAAGAUUUUCACUCGUGAUUGAAAAGUGAAGUUGGCAACUGUUCUCUUUG
rnacentral:lncRNA from 1 species